UUUAAUGUAAUUUUAUGCAUUAUAUUUUUUUAGAUCAUCAAGUUUCGGGCCCUAUAUAGUAUAUACAUAUAUGAAUAAUCGAUCACAUAGGUAUAAGUGAAAAGAAGAUAAAUAUAGAUAGGUCGCUUCUAAAAAAUCACAAGACGAUUAUGGCGUUUGUCAAAAAAUAUAAGAGUAGCUAAAUAAGGUACAUGGACACCGUAUGCGAAAAGAAGAACCUAGGUUCACUGUGUCUAACCUGUGGGGAUCUACUUACAAUCAAACACCUCUUUGUUCACUGUCGUAAACCAUUUGGAAACCAAAAGUAACCAAUAGGAAUUUCAGACAACCUCUUUAAAGGUAACAGCGAAAUAAAAUUAUUUUA